AGAGUUUGAUCAUGGCUCAGGAUGAACGCUGGCGGCGUGCUUAACACAUGCAAGUCGAGCGAAGCAGUUAAGUUGACUUCUUCGGAUUGAUUCUUAACUGACUGAGCGGCGGACGGGUGAGUAACGCGUGGGUGACCUGCCCCAUACCGGGGGAUAACAGCUGGAAACGGCUGCUAAUACCGCAUAAGCGCACAGAGCUGCAUGGCUCGGUGUGAAAAACUCCGGUGGUAUGGGAUGGGCCCGCGUCUGAUUAGGCAGUUGGCGGGGUAACGGCCCACCAAACCGACGAUCAGUAGCCGGCCUGAGAGGGCGACCGGCCACAUUGGGACUGAGACACGGCCCAAACUCCUACGGGGCGCAGCAG
rnacentral:rRNA from 1 species